GUACGGAGCCGUGUGGGAGCAGUUCUUGAAGAGCUGCAGCCUGUGGGCAGCCCCUGCAGGCUCAGUUCGGGAAGGACGGCAUCCCGUGGGAGGGACCCCACGGGGAGCAGGGGCAGAGAGGGACCGUGAAGGAGCAGGGGAGACAAAAGUGUUAUAGACUGACCCACCCCCACUCCCUGUCCCCUGCGCCGCUCAGGGGGAGGAGGUGGAAAAGGGUGGAUGGGGGAAAGUGGUUUUGGUUUCUUUCCUUUGUUUCUCACUUCUCUAGCUUGUUAGUAAUAGGCAAUAAAUUUUACUGUCUCCCUACUCUGAGUCUGUUUUGCCCAUCAUGAUAAUUGUUGAGUGACAGCCCCGUCCUCAUCUCAACCCUUGAGCCCUUUUCAUUGUAUUUUCUCCCCCUUUCCCUUUGAGGAGGGGGAGUGACAGAACAGCUGUGGUUGAGCUUGGCUGCCCACCCGUGUAAAACCACCAUAUCUUCUGAGGAAGAGGUUAAUGUAGAAACUGUAAGCUUUCUUUGACUGAUGGUUCUCACCCUGGUGUUUACAUAUGAUCUGGCCCCACUUACAUGCUUUUCUCAUGCACUGUGAAAAUGACCUUCCACAACAACUGUCAGGGGGAACUCAUACAAGCAAUGCCCUUAUACAAAACAUAUAGCAAAAUAACACAUGAAUAAGCAACAAAUAAACAUUACAAGUAAAGGUCCAGUUCUCAAACUUCAAGAGUUUGGUGUAGUAGGGUACAAAAAAUCUGGCUUAAGAAUCUAUGCAAACACAUGUAAAGUAGAGAUGGAGAUCUAAUUCAGCACUUGGUGAAUGAAGAUAUUACUCUCCUGCAGUUUUGAACAUGACAUGGAUUUCCUUCAAAACGAUGAGUAUCUGCUAGGGUCUUAAGGCUGGAUGUGGAUCUCACAGCUUGCCUUUUUCUUGCUGUGAUUUCAGGUUUGCUGUCUCUACUUCUGCUCUCAAGUCACAGGGAAGGAUUUUCAAGAAGGCACUUGAAUGUACUUGAAGGACAUUAGCAAAGGCUCAGCGUCAACAGAAGUGUCCGAAUUCAUCGCAUAUCAUUUGAGUGGAUAUAUGAAUGAUUUGCUCCAACAGCUUGAGAAGCUAACAGGAAUAUGCAAGCAGGCCUUGGAUCAAGGCUGCCACAGAUAGUUUAUGGCAUACUACAUCUGAAUUGGGGCACUUGAAAAUCCAGAUUCUGUUCACAGUACUUGACAGGUAAAUUUAAAGCAACUUCAUUUAUAUUCCUGUAGUUAUUCUGGAUUUGCUUUGGUGAAACCAGAAAUUUGCACGUUUUAAUUUUAACUAAAGGAAAGAAAGUCUAUGCCAUUUUUCUUUAAUACAUGUUAAAUGAGAGUUGAUUUUUUUCAUAAAU
rnacentral:lncRNA from 1 species